rnacentral:rRNA from 1 species
AUUGAACGCUGGCGGCAUGCCUUACACAUGCAAGUCGAACGGCAGCACGGGUGCUUGCACCUGGUGGCGAGUGGCGAACGGGUGAGUAAUACAUCGGAACAUGUCCUGUAGUGGGGGAUAGCCCGGCGAAAGCCGGAUUAAUACCGCAUACGAUCUGCGGAUGAAAGCGGGGGACCUUCGGGCCUCGCGCUAUAGGGUUGGCCGAUGGCUGAUUAGCUAGUUGGGGGGGUAAAGGCCUACCAAGGCGACGACCAGUAGCUGGUCUGAGAGGACGACCAGCCACACUGGGACUGAGACACGGCCCAGACUCCUACGGGAGGCAGCAGUGGGGAAUUUUGGACAAUGGGCGAAAGCCUGAUCCAGCAAUGCCGCGUGUGUGAAGAAGGCCUUCGGGUUGUAAAGCACUUUUGUCCGGAAAGAAAUCCUUGGCCCUAAUACGGUCGGGGGAUGACGGUACCGGAAGAAUAAGCACCGGCUAACUACGUG